CUAGCUCAGUUUGUUUCUCGCAACAGCUUCUGGGUGCUCCCUUUUCCUUCCACUCUGACCAAUAAACUACUGUGGCAAGACUUCCAGCAGUUUCCUUCCAGUGAUAUGACCUUCUGGAGUUUCUGUAAUAUUCCAUAGGCCUGGGAAAAAGUCACAAAGGUUUUACAACUCAUCACUGGAGGGUAUGAAAACAAUUUACAGAACCCAAGUAAGGUGCUUUAUCACUAUUGUGAGAGGACAAUUCCUUUCUUUCUUCACAUGAUUAGGAUAAGAGUGAACUACUGAAUCUCACUGGACUCUCAUCAAGGGACAAUCUACAAAUAUGUUGGGUACAGAGGCAUACCCAUGAAGAAUUGGGCUAUAACAAAAAAUACAGGCACAUAAAUAAAUA